rnacentral:rRNA from 1 species
AACUUUCAGCAACGGAUCUCUUGGCUCUCGCAUCGAUGAAGAACGCAGCGAAAUGCGAUAAGUAAUGUGAAUUGCAGAAUUCAGUGAAUCAUCGAAUCUUUGAACGCACCUUGCGCUCCUUGGUAUUCCGAGGAGCAUAUCUGUUUGAGUGUCA